rnacentral:rRNA from 1 species
UAGGGAAUCUUCGGCAAUGGACGAAAGUCUGACCGAGCAACGCCGCGUGAGUGAAGAAGGUUUUCGGAUCGUAAAACUCUGUUGUAAGAGAAGAAUGACAUUGAGAGUAACUGUUCAAUGUGUGACGGUAUCUUACCAGAAAGGAACGGCUAAAUACGUGCCAG